rnacentral:rRNA from 1 species
UACGAAGGGGGCUAGCGUUGUUCGGAUUUACUGGGCGUAAAGCGCACGUAGGCGGAUCGAUCAGUCAGGGGUGAAAUCCCAGAGCUCAACUCUGGAACUUCCUUUGAUACUGUCGAUCUGGAGUAUGGAAGAGGUGAGUGGAAUUCCGAGUGUAGAGGCGAAAUUCGUAGAUAUUCGGAGGAACACCAGUGGCGAAGGCGGCUCACUGGUCCAUUACUGACGCUGAGGUGCGAAAGCGUGGGGAGCAAACAGG